rnacentral:misc_RNA from 1 species
AAGUCGUAACAAGGUUUCCGUAGGUGAACCUGCGGAAGGAUCAUUAUCGAGUUCAAAGCGUCCUGAGCUGGCUUCGGCAAGUGCUCGGCGCCUCGUCCACUCAACCCCUGUGCACCUGAGAGGUGCGGUGCUGCGCCGUCAAGGCAAGGCUCGCGCCUCGACCCUUCACAAACUCUUAACAAGUCUAGUCGAAUGUAACCUCGCUUCGGCGAAAACACAAUACAACUUUCAACAACGGAUCUCUUGGCUCUC